AUGCUGAUUUUCAUGAAAACCCUCACUCUCAAGGUUGAACCCUCUGAUACGAUAGAAAAUAUACUAGUAAAAGCCAAGAUCCAGGAUAAGGAAGGAAUUCCUCCUGAUCAGCAAAGACUGAUCUUUGCUGGCAAGCAAUUGGAAGACGGACAUACUUUGUCUGACUACAACAUUCAAAAGGAGUCCACUCUUCAUCUUGUGUUGAGACUUCAUGGUGGUGCUAAGAAAAGAUAGAAGCAGUCUUACACCGCUCCCAAGAAGAAUAAGCAUAAGAGAAAGAAGGUGAAGCUGGCUGUCCUGAAAUACCACAAAGUGGAUGAGAAUGGCAAAAUCAGUCGCCUUCUUCGGGAGUGCCCUCAGAUGAAUGUGGUGCUGGAGUGUUUAUGGCCAGCCACCUUGACAGACAUUAUUGUGGCAAAUGUUUCAACAAACCAGAAGACAAGUAAUUGUAUUUGGGUUAGUAAAAGACAUGAACUAA